GAUGAACGCUGACAGAAUGCUUAACACAUGCAAGUCAACUGUGGCGGACGGGUGAGUAACGCGUACAGAACUUGCCUCACGGAUAGGGACAACAUUUUGAAACGCAUGCUAAUACCUGAUACUGUGAGAGAGCUUUGCUUCCCAUUAGCUAGUUGGAGAGGUAACGGCUCACCAAGGCGAUGAUGGGUAGCCGGCCUGAGAGGGUGAUCGGCCACAAGGGGACGGGGACACGACCCUUACGCCUACGGGAGGCAGCAGUGGGGAAUAGUGGACAAUGGACCAAAGUCUGAUCCAGCAAUUCUGUGUGCACGAUGAAGUUUUCGGAAUGUAAAGUGCUUUCAGUUGGGAAGCGGUACCAACAGAAGAAGUGACGGCUAAAUACGUGCCAGCAGCCGCGGUAAUUC
rnacentral:rRNA from 1 species